rnacentral:rRNA from 1 species
GACGAGCCACACGAACGUUAUUCGGAAUUACUGGGCUUAAAGGGUGCGUAGGCGGCGCGAAAAGUUGGGUGUGAAAUACCUCGGCUCAACCGAGGAACUGCGCCCAAAACUAUCGUGCUCGAGGAAGAUAGAGGUGAGCGGAACUUACGGUGGAGCGGUGAAAUGCGUUGAUAUCGUAAGGAACACCCGUGGCGAAAGCGGCUCACUGGGUCUUAUCUGACGCUGAUGCACGAAAGCGUGGGGAGCAAACAGG